CAAAUUUCCAGGGUCUUGUUUUCUGGCUUUAUUUUCUUUUAAAGUUGGAGGAAAACGCUAGUGAGUGAAUAUCAGGGUGAAGGGAACUGUUUAUCUUCUAUCCUGGACAAACCCUCUUUGACAUUUUCUCUUUGGCACUGGAGCCAUCGAAGUAGAGAUGGCCAAGCUCACAGCAUACUGCCCAACCAGGUGAGCACCACACAUCCCAGUCAGUUUAGCCAUCAGAGACACCAGCCUAACCUUCAGAGUGUACCACAAAUGCAUAUUUCUUUCCAUAUGCAAAUGUGUGAAAACAAAAAUUCCAUAGAUUUUCUUCUGUGAACAAACUCUCUAAUGAUGGAGAUGUAGUUUAAAAAUAAGAGAGUAGGGAGAUUUUGGUUUUGUUUUCAACAGAAUUUCCUCUUUCUCCUGUAAGCAGCACCUGACACACAAUAUUUAAAAGCAUUGUCUUCCCAUGAAAAACUGUGGUGCCUUUUUGAUAUUUGGACCCAAAAUGUUAAGCUCUGUAUGAGUUCUACAUUAUCUAUCUUGUCUAUACUUGUAUUUUCUUGUUUGCAUCCCAUUUGGGUUAAAUAAUUGAUCCUUUUCAUUUGUAUUCCUCCUAGUUCCCCAGAGGUUUUGAGGUGGGUGAGCAUGGCUGGCUCAGAACCAGGUCAGUCGAACAGGAUGAGAUAAAACUUGGGAGGAGGGAAGCUGUCAAGGAGAAAGGAGGCACUUCUGAGAUGUAUUUUGGUCAGUUUGUGGAUUAUCUAUGUCUCCUGUGGGCUCACAGCAGGAAGUGGAGGCCCUUAUGCCUUGUGCCCUACUGGGAUUAUGAAAGGAAAC
rnacentral:lncRNA from 1 species